rnacentral:rRNA from 1 species
CGGCAACAGCUCAAAUUUGAAAUCUGGCUUUCGGGCCCGAGUUGUAAUUUGUAGAGGAUACUUUUGAUGCGGUGCCUUCCGAGUUCCCUAGAACGGGACGCCAUAGAGGGUGAGAGCCCCGUC